rnacentral:tRNA from 1 species
UCCUCGGUAGCUCAGCGGUAGAGCGUUCGACUGUUAAUCGAAAUGUCGCUGGUUCGAUCCCAGCCCGAGGAGCCA